rnacentral:rRNA from 1 species
CAGGACGAACGCUGGCGGUGUGCCUCAUACAUGCAAGUCGAACGAGAAGUACCUUCGGGUAAUGGAAAGUGGCGGACGGGUGAGCACAACAUAGGAAAUCUGCCCUAAAGCGGGGGACAACAGAGGGAAACUCCUGCUAAUACCCCAUAUGAGCUUAGUUGAAAUACUAAUCUUGAAAGAUUUAUCACUUUAGGAUGAGCCUGUGCCUGAUUAGCUGGUUGGUGGUGUAAUGGACUACCAAGGCGACGAUCAGUAGCUGGUUUGAGAGGAUGAUCAGCCACAAUGGGACUGAGACACGGCCCAUACUCCUACGGGAGGCAGCAGUAGGGAAUUUUGCGCAAGUACGGGGGGAAACCCUGACGCAGCAACACCGCGUGAAUGUUAAGCCCUUCGGGGUGUAAAGUUCUGUCAAUAGGGAAGAAUAAAUGACUGUACCUAUAAAGGAAGCACCGGCUAACUCCGUGCCAGCCGCCGC